rnacentral:rRNA from 1 species
UACAGGGGGGUGCAAACGUUGCUCGGAAUUAUUGGGCGUAAAGCGCGCGUAGGCGGCUACUUAAGUCGGAUGUGAAAGCCCCUGGCUCAACUGGGGGAAGUGCACCCGAAACUGAGUGGCUUGAGUGCGAAAGAGGGUCGCGGAAUUCCCGGUGUAGAGGUGAAAUUCGUAGAUAUUAGGAAGAACACCGGUGGCGAAGGCGGCCUGCUGGGCAGUAGCUGACACUGAGGCGCGACAGCGUGGGGAGCAAACAGG